rnacentral:misc_RNA from 1 species
CCUACCGCGAGACUGUGUACGAAAACUGCGCGUGCGUCGUUUCGUUACAGAAUGGAAAAACGAGGACUGCGGUCGAGGGCUGCGAUGAAUGACACAAAUUUUCGCUCAUAAUGGCCUGUUUUAAGCUUUGAAAUCAUGGUAAACACGCCGAAGAGGAUCUAUUGUUGAACUACCACAAGUUCAUGAAGAUGGAAAACUGAAUCUAGAGGCAGAGGCACACAUAUAGAACUGACCACAGUGACAUCAAGAUGAAUCAGUUUCAGCAAGAUUUUCAACAGUGGAUGCUGCUGCAGCAGCAACUGCAACAGAUGUAUCAGCAAAACGUGCAGCAGCAAACACAAGGGUCAGGAUUUGAACUUCUGUUUGCAUUGCGGGAAAGACGAAUGGAUUUCAAUGGCCAACUUCAAAAGUGGGAGAGGGAAUUCAAGCAAUGGAAAGAUGACCACAUGGGCCAUCCAAACAAGGCGCAGUUUAACAGUUACCUUGAGCUGUGGAAAGGAUGGCAGGUGCAGAUGGAAAAUACGCUUAGGGAAAUCCAGCAGCAGAUAGUUAAUGAAGAAGAUGCAAUUCGGGCCAGGGGAAUGGUCGUCCCUCCAGAGGUCCAUCAAAAAGGUCGUGGAAAAGAACAAGGGCAGAGUAAGGAGUUAGGAAGGGGUCCAGGAAUGGGUUCAGGUAUGGGUCCAGGUACUGGUCCAGGCAUGGGUCAAGGCAUGGGACAAGGUAUGGGUCUAGGUAUGAGUCAAGGCAUGGGUCCAGGUAUGGGUCAAGGCAUGGGUCCAGGAAUGGGUCAAGGAAUGGAUCACAGUAUGGGUUCAGGUAUGGGUCCAGGAAUGAGUCCAGGAAUGGGUCCAGGAAUGAGUCCAGGAAUGAGUCCAGGAAUGGGUCCAGGAAUGAGUCCAGGAAUGGAUCCAGGUAUGGGUUCAGGUAUGGGUCAGGGGAUGGGUCAAGGUGUGGGUCCAGGAAUGAGUUCAGGCAUGGGCCAAGGAAUGGGUCAAGGAAUGGGUCAAGGAAUGGGUCCAGGAAUGGGUCCAGGAAUGGGUCCAGGAAUGGGUCCAGGGAUGGGUCCAGGCAUGGGUCAAGGUAUGGGUCAAGGCAUGGGUCAAGGUAUGGGUCAAGGCAUGGGUCAAGGUAUGGGUCAAGGUAUGGGUCCAGGCAUGGGUCCAGGCAUGGGCCUAGGCAUGGGUCCAGGCAUGGGUCCAGACUUGGGUCCAGGAAUUGAUUCAGGAAUGAGACCAAGAAUGGGACAAGGUAUUGGUCAAGGAAUGGAUCCUGGAAUGAAUUUGGGCAAACCUGGUAUGAGACCAGGAGUGAAUCCUGGGGAACUUUGUCCGCGGGCUCAUGGAGGUGACGCAAGAAGACCAGGACAUAUGGAUCCAAGGGAUAUGGGUCCCGAUGGUGUUGGUGUGAGAGAUUUAAAUGGAAGGGGUCCAAGAGGUCCAGGUGGUGUCCAUCCCAGAGAUCCAAGAAGAUUAGGCCCUGGUGGGAUGGGAUCUGGUGACAUGGAUUCUAAAGGUCCUGGUUCAGUGGGCCCAAGGGGCCCAAUUGACCAUGGAACAAUGCUUAUGGAGGGUCAAAGGGAAAUAGGUCCAAGAUUUGCUGGUGGAAGGGGUUCAAGGGGUCCAAGAGGCCCUGGUGGAAUAGAUCCAAGAGUUCCCGUCGGUAUGCGUCCAGUGGGUUCAGGUGAUAUGGGUCCGAUGGGUUCAGGUGAAAUGGGUCCAAGGGGUCCAGGUGGCAUGGUUCCAAUGGGUCAAGGUGACAUUGGUCCAAGGGGUCCAGGUGAUAUGGGUCAUAGGGGCCUCGGUGACAUGGGUCCCAUGGGUCUAGGUAAUAUGGGUCCAAGGGGUCCUGGUGAUAUGGGUUCUAGGGGUCCAGGUGAUAUGGGUCCCAUGGGUCCAGGUAAUAUGGGUCCAAGGGGUUCAGGUGACAUGGGUCAGAGGGGUCCAGGUGAUAUGGGUCCCAUGGGUCCAGGUAAUAUGGGUCCUAGGGGUCCAAGUGACAUGGGUUCAAUGGGCCCUGGUGAUAUGGGUCCUAGGGGCCCAGGUGACAUUGUCCCAAGGGGUUUAGGUGAUAUGGGUCAAAGGGGUCCAGGUGACAUGGGUCAAAGGGGUCCUGGUAAUUUGGGUCCUAGGGGUCCAGGCAAUAUGGGUCUGAGGGGUCCAGGUGAUAUAGUUCCGAGGGGUCCAGGUGAUAUGGGUCCGAGGGGUCCAGGUGAUAUGGGUCCAAGGGGUCCAGGUGACAUGGGUCCAAGGGGCCCUGGUGACAUGGGUCCAGUUGGUCCUGGUGAUAUUGGGCAAAUUGGUCCAAGGGGUCCUGAAAGAAUAGGCCAAAGGGGUCCUGGAUCAUUCGGUCCAAGUGGCCCUGGACCUAUAGUUCCAGCUGGAGAGGGCCCUGGAGAGUUUCAAGGACCUAGACACGACAUGGCUCCACCUCCUGUUAGUAACCCACAAGGAAUUAAUAGUGGCAUGCUACCUGGUGUUAUGGAUCCUCGAGGAUUAGGAAUAUCAACCAGCAUGGGUGGACCAAGUGUGAACAUGCAAAUGGGAAUGCAAGGCAUUGCACCCCAACAAGUGAUAGGUCCACAAGGAAUAUGGCAGCAGGGAAUGCUACAACCAGGAGUUCAACAGAGUGGCCUCGAGCAUCAACCAAUGAUGAAUCAAAACAUUGGAAUACAAGGAGUCGUUCCGCAGAAAGUGAUGACUCAAGGCGUGUCUUUUCCAAAACAACCUGAACCAGAACCUGUUGUAGUAGUUGUACCCAGCAAACCACCGAAAGAAAACUCUUCAAAAGACAAGGCCAAAAACAAUUUAGUCCCACCAGGUGUGGACUUCUUUUCACCUCCAACAAUUGGUCCUCCACCCAAGAUACCCACUGCAAAAGCUGAGGAAGAAGAACAACCUGAACCUGCGAAAGACAUUUCUGAUUCUGACAAGAUAUCUGCCUGGCCACCUACAUCCCAAGCUGGGAAAGUCGCAAUAAAAAAGUACCCAUCUGUGAAGAAAGAACCACCCAUUAUUAUAAAACCAAUUGUAGAGAAGACUGACAAAGUUUCUGGCAAGCAGUCUUCAUCAGCUUCUAAAGAGGAACCUGAGCAGUCACAAACUAAAUCAAAGUCAGAGGAUUCAAAGUCAGAUGAUUCAAAGGAGGUCAUCGAAGUGGAAAAGAUGGAAUCUGCCGCAAAGUCCGAUGACUCAAAAGCUUCAUCAGAUACAAAGGUUGCAUCAACGAAACUGGCCACUGAGAAGGUAGAAGUUGGUGGCAAGGUUAAAAAAGAAAUUAGUUCAAGUGUAAAGGAUAAGUACAAUUCCCUGACCCUAAAAGAAGAUACUCAAAAGGAACCACAGUCUUACAUUAAACUGAGCAAAAAGAACUACACUUCAAUCUUUCCGCUUAGAAAUCGAGACCGUUUCCGGCGAAGGUUGAGUAAAAGUAAAAGCAAAAGUAAGAGUAGAAGUCGCAGCAGAAGCCCUCGCAAAACAAAUCGAAGCAAAAGCAGGAGCCGCAGCCGGAGCAGGAGUCGUAGUCGUGGCAAGAGCAGAAACUGGAGCAAAAACCGAAGUCGUAGCAGAAGUAGGAGUCCGAGCAAGGGAAAAACUCGAAGCAAAAAUAGGAGCAGAAGUAGGAGUCGGAGCAAGGGCAGAAGUAGGACUAGGAACAGAAGUAGAAGUCGAAGCCGGACCAGGAGCAGAAGUCGCAGCACGAGUAGAGGCCGUGACAGGAGCCGUAGGAGCUGGGAUCGCAGUCAUAGCUAUGGCAGAGAUCGUGGUCGCAACAUGAGUCCUUCCCGAAGUGGCAAUAAGUAUCCUUUCCGGGAUCGUUAUAGGAGUCCCAAUAGAAUUCGUAACAGAAGUCCCAACAGAAGAGAACCAUUUCCGAGAGAUCUGCCUGAACGAGCAGGCAGUAGGCAGUCUGAAUUGCCAAGGAGCUACAGGCUUGACUCCCCACCUCAAUCUCAGGCUCCAGCAAUGCAGGCCGUAAGCGCUGCCUCCACAGUGCAAGAAUUAAGUGAUAGAGAGCAUGAUAUUAUCCUGAAAGCUGCACAGGAGUUAAAAAUGAUCAGAGAACGCCAGAAGAAACUACUUCCUGGUGGUCCAGAAGGAGGAUCAGCACCCAUAAAAGACAUGCUAGUUGAUAAACUGGUUCCAGAACGUGAGAGACUUGAUCCUGAGAGAAUGCAGCAUCCCAUGGGCAGGCCGGGACUAGACAGGUAUAGAGGCGGAAAGGAAGUGGGAAGAUUCCAUCCUGAAGGGUUGCCACGAGAGGGGUUGCCUCGUUACCGUGGUGAAGGGGAGCCCUACCCACCAAGGGAAGAAUUCUAUGACCGGGAAGGUCCUUACGUGAGAGGACCACCACGCUACAAGGAUGACCCAUACCGCCGGGAUCCCUAUGCAGAGGGCACUUACCGUCCCUAUCCACCUGAGGAUUGGGAAUAUGAAGAAGAACGGGUUCGUGUUGGGAGGCUACGUGAUAUAGAACGGAGAUUGGACAUGGAACUUGGCUUUAGACGAGAACAAUUUGAAUUGGACAGGCAAGGUGUAGGUAGAGGGUAUGAUACAGGCAGGCCAGCUGACCCUGACUAUCCCAGACACCCUGUUGAGCCAAGGGGUCUGGGAACAGCCGAAGGUCGGCCGAUUGGGAGAGCUGGGGAAGGUCGGAUGAUGAGAGCUGGGGAAGGUACGAUGGAGAGAGCUGCCGAAGGUCCGAUGGUGAAGACUUUCGACUAUGGUCAUGGUCAAGGAGGUGACUCGCCACAUGCAGAGCAAAGGUAUGACAGAGGAGAUAGUCGCUAUGAUGACAGAGACCCCCGAGGCCCUGAGAGAUAUCCAGAAGAGAUGGGCCGCGAGCGUGGAUUCUAUGAUGAAAGGGAUCCUGCAAGACUUAACAGGGAAGAUCAGGGAAGAGACUUGCGGCCAGAUGACAGGAAUCGUGGUGACUUUGACCGGGAUCGUGAGAGAUAUGAGAGGGAUGUAGCUGAAGACGGUGGUAGACAGUACAGAGAGCAACCAGGAAGACCUUAUGAUGACAGGGAGGCUGGACUACGGGACACCGAUGAUAGAGAUUACAACCGUCCAAUGCAGCCUCGUGAUGAUCCUCGGCAAUCAGAUUGGCAGCAACAGGAGCAACAGAGGUUUGAGCCACGGCAGAGUGAUUCAAAGCAUCAGCAGACUGAUCCCAAGCAUCAUCAGUAUGGUAGUGAGGCUCCCCGCUAUAGCAAAGAACCCAGGCAAUUUGAGCAAGAUGUGGCAGGCCAGGGAAGGGAUCCCUAUGAAUCAGACGACAGUCGGUUUGUGUCUACAAGUUACCCAUCAACUGUUGAUGAAUAUGAGGGUCCUUACGCUGUGGAUGAACGGCCACCUUUACAACUCUAUCCACCACCCCCACCGCCUCCACCACUUGCUGCUGAAGAACCCAAACCAAAGAGCAUUCCUGUCGAGGAUCUGCUGAAGAAUCCGGGUCGUCAUCAUCGCCCCAAGCAGAUUGUUAUCAUUCUCAGAGGGCCUCCAGGCAGUGGCAAGACAUACGUCUCUAAGCUCAUCAAGGGUCUGGAGACUAAGAUGGGUGGUCAUGUGCCUCGCAUGCUGUGCCUGGAUGACUACUUCAUGACAGAAGUAGAAAGGAUGGAGACGGAUCCAGAAACUGGGAAGAAGUUCCUUCUCAAGGUUCUGGAGUAUGAGUAUGAGGCAGUCAUGGAGAUUGCUUACCGCACCAGUCUAUUGAAGUCCUUCAAGAAGACUAUAGAUGAUGGCUUCUUUGAUUUCAUCAUAGUCGAUGCCAUCAAUGACAAGAUGCAGUAUGUGGUUCCAUUCAGAAACUACAGCAAACUCAAAGGCUUUGAGGUAUUUGUUGUGGAAAUGAUGGCUGAUGCUGCCACCUGUCACAAACGAGACACUCACAAUCGUGGUCUGCCUGAUAUACAGAAGAUUAAUCGCAAUUUUGAACCUCUGCCAGCUGACUACACCCGACUUGAUGUGCGUUCUCUCCUACAGGAUGAUUGUAUUGAAGAGGUGGAGAUGGAGGAUUUUGAUGAGGAAGCAGAGGCAGCCAGACAGAAGGAAGAGGAAGAAGACGAAGAUGAAGAUGAACUGGAGACCCAUGGUUUCCAAGAAUCGUGUCGAUGCCGAAUUUGAGUUGCUUAUUGCCCUGGGCCGAGGAGGGCCGAUCACAGCCUGCCUUUUUCUCCGCUCCUCUACCGGCCGGUGAUAAGCAGCCGUCGACCGGCAGCCCUCGACCGGCGGUUGCGCGCUCGACUCCGUAGUCCGUCCCGUCAGUCGCUGGUGCUUGUUCUUGAGGAUCGGCAAGUAUGCCCGUGGGACAGUUUAAGCUCUUGUAGCCACUUGGAAGCAAAUCCUCACGUGUGAUGGUGGGAGAAAGGUGCUGAUAAGAAGUCUGUCCAGUACACCGAGGAGUUACGUGUACAUAAGAUGAUGGUAUCGAGUAAUAAGGGACCAAAGGUAGUCCUGUUGAAUACAUAUACAUCAUCGUUAUCAUCCGGUAUCAGCAAUCCCUCCAGCAAGACGGGUUUUAUAAUUUGCCCCUGAAAAAUUCAAGAGAGGACAAGCUCCGAAUUGUUUUAGUGUUCCUAAAUCAGAUUAUAAUCUCUAAUUUCAGAAUGACUGAAAUUGUCACAAGUUAUCGUCGGAUGUUACGGGCCUCGGGAACGAUACAGCACCUGAUUGGUCCACGGUACGGAUGUUUUGUGGUCUUCUCACCGUUUUUUGGCUUCCAGUUGGUGAGAUUUAUUAGAGUGGUGAUGACAUGCUGAUGGGCUGCUUGGUGUGGCUUCCUGUCAAUGAGGGCGCUCAUUCUAGACAGCCUUGCGGGAUCUGCAAACUUGAUGUUUCCAAUGACGUAUACCGGUAGCACCUGCUCAUCAGCGGUAAGUGGCAGCCGGAUAAUUGAAACUAUUGGGAAAACAAAGUUACUUAUAUAGUUCUCGUCAACAAAUUGAUAGGGUUUCCAUAUGCCGUGCUUUCGCUUCGAGGAAGAAAGGAAAGUGUAUAUUGGGUGGGUGGAAAGCUAAUAAAACUCCUCGGAAAAGUGUACAGGUAUGCAGCAUAGAGCACAAUCUCUUGAUACAGAUAAUAUGGAAGAGUAAGAUAAAAACGGAGGUCUCGAAAUUCCCGAUGUUUACCUAUAAAACUUGGCGCACUUUUUGAGUUCGGCAUCUGAAACCCACGGUAAUCAGAUUUUGUUCAAUGAGUUACGGUUUUUGGUCUGUUCCCUUCGCUUCGUGAACGGUGGACCUUUCACGGUAAUCUUAACGUGGAACUUUAAACGCACUGUGAGUUACUUGUAUAUAUAUGCGGGAAUCUUUUUGUAUAAUGCAAUCCCCAUCUACACCAUCCCUGAAAGAAGUUGACCUUUUUUUGGCCUUCAAAACAAUAUUGACAUUUAUAGUGUUUUCAGUUAUGAAUUACUUGCUGUCAGCAAACGGAAAUAAAGAAUAUUGUGUCAUGAAAA